AAAAGCCUGCCACCGGGCAGGAAUGCGCAAGGCAUUCGUAUACACAUCGUUAGGUCUUUGAAGAUGUGUACGCGGAUGCCUUUUUUGG
rnacentral:ncRNA from 1 species